rnacentral:rRNA from 1 species
AUUGAACGCUGGCGGCAUGCCUUACACAUGCAAGUCGAACGGCAGCACGGGGCAACCUGGUGGCGAGUGGCGAACGGGUGAGUAAUGCAUCGGAACGUACCUUUCAGUGGGGGAUAACGUAGCGAAAGUUACGCUAAUACCGCAUAUUCUGUGAGCAGGAAAGCAGGGGAUCGCAAGACCUUGCGCUGAUUGAGCGGCCGAUGUCAGAUUAGCUAGUUGGUGAGGUAAAGGCUCACCAAGGCGACGAUCUGUAGCGGGUCUGAGAGGAUGAUCCGCCACACUGGAACUGAGACACGGUCCAGACUCCUACGGGAGGCAGCAGUGGGGAAUUUUGGACAAUGGGGGCAACCCUGAUUCAGCCAUGCCGCGUGAGUGAGGAAGGCCUUCGGGUUGUAAAGCUCUUUCGGCCGGGAAGAAAUCGCACGGGCUAAUACCCUGUGUGGAUGACGGUACCGGAAUAAGAAGCACCGGCUAACUACGUGCCAGCCGCCGCCGUAAAAC